CCUACGGGAGGCAGCAGUGAGGAAUAUUGGACAAUGGGCGCAAGCCUGAUCCAGCCAUGCCGCGUGCAGGAAGAAGCAUCUAUGGUGUGUAAACUGCUUUUGUACGGGAAGAAACACUCCGACGUGUCGGAGCUUGACGGUACCGUAAGAAUAAGGAUCGGCUAACUCCGUGCCAGCAGCCGCGGUAAUACGGAGGAUCCAAGCGUUAUCCGGAAUCAUUGGGUUUAAAGGGUCCGUAGGCGGUUUAAUAAGUCAGUGGUGAAAGCCCAUCGCUUAACGAUGGAACGGCCAUUGAUACUGUUAGACUUGAAUUAUUGGGAAGUAACUAGAAUAUGUAGUGUAGCGGUGAAAUGCUUAGAUAUUACAUGGAAUACCAAUUGCGAAGGCAGGUUACUAUCAAUAUAUUGACGCUGAUGGACGAAAGCGUGGGGAGCGAACAGGAUUAGAUACCCUGGUAGUCCACGCCGUAAACGAUGGAUACUAGCUGUUCGGAGCAAUCUGNGUGNUAGAGAAGUAGAUAAGUAUACCACCGUCGGGUAGGUACGUUCGUCGAGAAGUAGAACGUACGAAGAAGUUAGUACGGCGUGAGACGUAGCCGACGGACGACGACGAGGGAGGUUAGGG
rnacentral:rRNA from 1 species